AAAGACCUGACUGAGAUCGAACUGCACUCUGUAGACUCCAUCAGUGACCUGCAUCGCGCACACCCUGAACAGCAUGGCAAAGGUUGCCGACCAGCCCGCCCCAAACCUCCCUCUAUCAAUGGGAAACUUCAAUCACUGGACAAACCAGCAAUCUGUCAAUCAGGGCAUCAAAUGAGAAGGUCCCAUCUGAAACAACUCAGCAGCAUGUGCAUUCCCUGUAUGUGGCGCUAUUCUUUGGCAUGUGUGGCUUUAACUCUGAUCCUCCUCACUCUUAUUCUCAUCUUUAGCUUCUUAGUCCAACAGAGCAGAGCUCUACACACUCUCUCUGAAAUGGUGAGCCAACGGCAAGAAACGACAGAGGAAAUCUCCAUCCUUAUUCAGGAGCUCCAGGCUCUUCGUAGAAACCUGACCGCAUUGGGAGACAGACACUGACUGUACUGUUCCAUGAGUCAGCCACUUGCAAAACAAGCCAAUUCACUAAUGGAUAUUUUUAGCUCAUAAGUGUGAUUCUAAGUAUCAAAACAAAAUUUAUGUGAACAUACUUUUUAAUAUGCUGCGAUUUAUUGUAAAACAAUCCUGCUCAUGCAUUGUUAAUGGAAUGACUGUUAGGGUAUACGUUACAGACUGCCAACCAGAAUCUAGAUAAAUAUACAUCUGCUUAUAUGCACCAGGUGCUCUGGGCCACUGGCAACUGGACUUUUGACAAUAGUGGACAAAGGAGUCCAGACUAGCAGAGACCUUUUUGUAACAUUUUAAAUUGCUUGAAAGCUUAAGAAAAAUGACUAAAGAAUUUUUUUUUCCAUGUUUGCAUUAGACUACUGAGGAUAUCAAAGACCAGAGACCAAGCUCAGUCUAUGGUAAAACAAGCAACUAAAGGGAAAAUUUAGCAUGGACAACCACAGACCACUGUUCAGGAAUAUGCAUCAUUAUAUGAGUACAGAUGUGAAGGUAAAAGAGAAAUAAAGAAUUUUAGAACCAAGUUAUAGAGAUGCUUGGGUAAGCCCAACAAUAGUUCAACAAAAUUUGCUCUUCAACUAAUCUUCAAUAACUUGCAAAAGCACUCACUCUACAUUCACAAAACUACAUAAUCUUCCCUCCUUUGAAAUAAUUGCAAGUAAAUACCGACCCUGGAACAGUGUUUUAUCUUAGAUUCUCUAAAUAUGUGCCAG
ensembl:lncRNA